rnacentral:lncRNA from 1 species
UGCUACAUGGCAGUGGUCUCGGUUAGCGGUGUUGCUACAUGGCAGUGGUCUAAGUUAGCAGUGUUGCUACAUGGCAGUGGUUAGCGGUGUUGCUACAUGGCAGCGGUCUUGGUUAGCGGUGUUGCUAGAUGGCAGUGGUCUCGAUUAGCAGUGUUGCUACAUGGCAGUGGUUAGCGGUGUUGCUACAUGGCAGCGGUCUUGGUUAGCGGUGUUGCUAGAUGGCAGUGGUCUCGAUUAGCGGUGUUGCUACAUGGCAGCGGUCUCGGUUAGCGGUGUUGCUACAUGGCAGUGGUUAGCGGUGUUGCUACAUGGCAGCGGUCUCGGUUAGCAGUGUUGCUACAUGGCAGUGGUUAGCGGUGUUGCUACAUGGCAGUGGUCUAAGUUAGCGGUGUUGCUACAUGGCAGUGGUUAGCGGUGUUGCUACAUGGCAGCGGUCUUGGUUAGCGGUGUUGCUAGAUGGCAGUGGUCUCGGUUAGCGGUGUUGCUACAUGGCAGUGGUUAGCGGUGUUGCUACAUGGCAGUGGUCUAAGUUAGCGGUGUUGCUACAUGGCAGUGGUUAGCGGUGUUGCUACAUGGCAGUGGUCUAAGUUAGCGGUGUUGCUACAUGGCAGUGGUUAGCGGUGUUGCUACAUGGCAGCGGUCUUGGUUAGUGGUGUUGCUACAUGGCAGUGGUCUAAGUUAGCGGUGUUGCUACAUGGCAGUGGUUAGCGGUGUUGCUACAUGGCAGCGGUCUUGGUUAGCGGUGUUGCUAGAUGGCAGUGGUCUCAGUUAGCGGUGUUGCUACAUGGCAGCGGUCUCGGUUAGCGGUGUUGCUACAUGGCAGUGGUUAGCGGUGUUGCUACAUGGCAGUGGUCUAAGUUAGCGGUGUUGCUACAUGGCAGUGGUUAGCGGUGUUGCUACAUGGCAGUGGUCUAAGUUAGCGGUGUUGCUACAUGGCAGUGGUUAGCGGUGUCGCUACAUGGCAGUGGUCUAAGUUAGCGGUGUUGCUACAUGGCAGUGGUUAGCGGUGUCGCUACAUGGCAGUGGUCUAAGUUAGCGGUGUUGCUACAUGGCAGUGGUCUUGGUUAGCGGUGUUGCUACAUGGCAGUGGUCUCGGUUAGCGGUGUUGCUACAUGGCAGUGGUCUCGGUUAGCGGUGUUGCUACAUGGCAGCGGUCUCGGUUAGCGGUGUUGCUACAUGGCAGUGGUCUCGGUUAGCGGUGUUGCUACAUGGCAGUGGUUAGCGGUGUUGCUACAUGGCAGUGGUCUCGGUUAGCGGUGUUGCUACAUGGCAGUGGUUAGCGGUGUUGCUACAUGGCAGUGGUCUAAGUUAGCGGUGUCGCUACAUGGCAGUGGUCUAAGUUAGCGGUGUUGCUACAUGGCAGUGGUCUCGGUUAGCGGUGUUGCUACAUGGCAGUGGUCUCGGUUAGCGGUGUUGCUACAUGGCAGCGGUCUCGGUUAGCGGUGUUGCUACAUGGCAGUGGUUAGCGGUGUUGCUACAUGGCAGUGGUCUCGGUUAGCGGUGUUGCUACAUGGCAGUGGUCUAAGUUAGCGGUGUUGCUACAUGGCAGUGGUCUGGUUAGCGCUGUUGCUACAUGGCAGUGGUCUAAGUUAGCAGUGUUGCUAGAUGGCAAUGGUUAGCGGUGUUGCUACAUGGCAGUGGUCUAG